UGUUAUGAAAGGAUUAGCAUUGAACUCUAUGAUUGCUUGCAUGUUAGAGGAAAGUAAACUUUCGCUAUCGAAAUUAGUGGAUUUUAUUUUUGAGAAAAUUAGGGAUGAUGAGAGUAACGGUAGUAGUAAGGCUACUGUGAAAAGUGCUGUGAUUUUGAUCGGGAUGGUAGUAGUAAGGUUACUGUGAAAAGUGCUGUGAUUUUGAUUGGGCAGAGGAUGUUUUACGGAAUGCCGAAUGUAGAUGCUGAUGUUUUAGAGGAUGAAUCUGAGUCUGCUCUUUGGUGUUGGGAGGUGAAAAUUUUCUAAAUUAUUGUUUUGAAUGUCAGUGUAAAAUGUAUUUCCACAAUCAGUCACUUAUUUUAGGUAAUUUUCAUUCAUAGUAUUGAUGGG
rnacentral:lncRNA from 1 species